AGGCGUCGACGGGUAGCCGGCCUGAGAGGGUGACCGGCCACACUGGGACUGAGACACGGCCCAGACUCCUACGGGAGGCAGCAGUGGGGAAUAUUGCACAAUGGGCGCAAGCCUGAUGCAGCAACGCCGCGUGAGGGAUGACGGCCUUCGGGUUGUAAACCUCUUUUAGCAGGGAAGAAGCGAAAGUGACGGUACCUGCAGAAAAAGCGCCGGCUAACUACGUGCCAGCAGCCGCGGUAAUACGUAGGGCGCAAGCGUUAUCCGGAAUUAUUGGGCGUAAAGAGCUCGUAGGCGGUUUGUCGCGUCUGCUGUGAAAUCCGGAGGCUCAACCUCCGGCCUGCAGUGGGUACGGGCAGACUAGAGUGCGGUAGGGGAGAUUGGAAUUCCUGGUGUAGCGGUGGAAUGCGCAGAUAUCAGGAGGAACACCGAUGGCGAAGGCAGAUCUCUGGGCCGUAACUGACGCUGAGGAGCGAAAGGGUGGGGAGCAAACAGGCUUAGAUACCCUGGUAGUCCACCCCGUAAACGUUGGGAACUAGUUGUGGGGUCCAUUCCACGGAUUCCGUGACGCAGCUAACGCAUUAAGUUCCCCGCCUGGGGAGUACGG
rnacentral:rRNA from 1 species